rfam:Cupriavidus sp. HPC(L) contig219, whole genome shotgun sequence.
CGAUCGAGUAGAAGCGGUUAGCGCCAACGCAUCCCCAACGCAUCGCCAUCGCAGGCCGAUGCCCCGGCGCGGGACAUUGCUCUCACG